rnacentral:rRNA from 1 species
ACGGAAGGCAGCAGUGGGGGAUAUUGCACAAUGGGCGAAAGCCUGAUGCAGCGACGCCGCGUGAGGGAAGACGGUUUUCGGAUUGUAAACCUCUGUCUUCGGGGACGAAAAAGGACGGUACCCGAGGAGGAAGCUACGGCUAACUACGUGCCAGCAGCCGCGGUAAUACGUAGGGAGCGAGCGUUGUCCGGAAUUACUGGGUGUAAAGGGAGCGUAGGCGGGACUGCAAGUCAGAUGUGAAAUGCCGGGGCUUAACCCCGGAGCUGCAUUUGAAACUGUGGUUCUUGAGUGAAGUAGAGGCAAGCGGAAUUCCUGGUGUAGCGGUGAAAUGCGUAGAUAUCAGGAGGAACACCGGUGGCGAAGGCGGCUUGCUGGGCUUUUACUGACGCUGAGGCUCGAAAGCGUGGGUAGCAAACAGGAUUAGAUACCCUGGUA